rnacentral:misc_RNA from 1 species
AGCCGCGGUAAUUCCAGCUCCAAUAGCGUAUAUUAAAGUUGUUGCAGUUAAAAAGCUCGUAGUUGAAUUUCGGGAUCAAUAUAUCGGUCGUGCCUUGGUACGUACUGGUAUCAUUGGUUUCUCCUUUCUGACGAACCAUGAUGUCAUUAAUUUGGUGUUAUGGGAAGUUAGGACUGUUACUUUGAAAAAAUUAGAGUGUUUAAAGCAGGCUUUAGCUUGAAUACAUUAGCAUGGAAUAAUGAAAUAGGACGUUCGAACCUAUUUUGUUGGUUUCUAGGAUCAACGUAAUGAUUAAUAGGGAUAGUUGGGGGCAUUAGUAUUCAAUUGUCAGAGGUGAAAUUCUUGGAUUUAUUGAAGACUAACUACUGCGAAAGCAUUUGCCAAGGAUGUUUUCAUUAAUCAAGAACGAAAGUUAGGGGAUCGAAGACGAUCAGAUACCGUCGUAGUCUUAACCAUAAACUAUGCCGACUAGGGAUCGGAUGAUGUUAAUUUUUUAAUGACUCAUUCGGCGCCUUACG